UACGGAGGGGGCUAGCGUUGUUCGGAAUUACUGGGCGUAAAGCGCGCGUAGGCGGAUUGUUAAGUCGGGGGUGAAAUCCCGGGGCUCAACCCCGGAACUGCCUUCGAUACUGGCAAUCUGGAGUUCGAGAGAGGUGAGUGGAAUUCCGAGUGUAGAGGUGAAAUUCGUAGAGAUUCGGAGGAACACCAGUGGCGAAGGCGGCUCACUGGCUCGAUACUGACGAUGAGGUGCGAAAGAGUGGGGAGCAAACAGG
rnacentral:rRNA from 1 species